rnacentral:rRNA from 1 species
UACGAAGGGGGCGAGCGUUGUUCGGAUUUACUGGGCGUAAAGGGCGCGUAGGCGGCCCUCCUAGUCGCGUGUGAAAGCCCCGGGCUCAACCCGGGAACUGCGUCCGAUACUGGCAGGCUUGAAUUCGGGAGAGGGAUGCGGAAUUCCAGGUGUAGCGGUGAAAUGCGUAGAUAUCUGGAGGAACACCGGUGGCGAAGGCGGCAUCCUGGACCGAGAUUGACGCUGAGGCGCGAAAGCCAGGGGAGCAAAGCGGG